AGAGUUUGAUCCUGGCUCAGGAUGAACGCUAGCUACAGGCUUAACACAUGCAAGUCGAGGGGCAGCAUGAUUGAAGCUUGCUUCAAUUGAUGGCGACCGGCGCACGGGUGAGUAACACGUAUCCAACCUUCCGUACACUCAGGGAUAGCCUUUCGAAAGAAAGAUUAAUACCUGAUGGUAUCUUAAGCACACAUGUAAUUAAGAUUAAAGAUUUAUCGGUGUACGAUGGGGAUGCGUUCCAUUAGGUAGUAGGCGGGGUAACGGCCCACCUAGCCUACGAUGGAUAGGGGUUCUGAGAGGAAGGUCCCCCACAUUGGAACUGAGACACGGUCCAAACUCCUACGGGAGGCAGCAGUGAGGAAUAUUGGUCAAUGGACGAGAGUCUGAACCAGCCAAGUAGCGUGAAGGAUGAAGGUCCUACGGAUUGUAAACUUCUUUUAUAAGGGAAUAAAACCUCCCACGUGUGGGAGCUUGUAUGUACCUUAUGAAUAAGCAUCGGCUAACUCCGUGCCAGCAGCCGCGGUAAUACGGAGGAUGCGAGCGUUAUCCGGAUUUAUUGGGUUUAAAGGGAGCGCAGACGGGUCGUUAAGUCAGCUGUGAAAGUUUGGGGCUCAACCUUAAAAUUGCAGUUGAUACUGGCGUCCUUGAGUGCGGUUGAGGUGUGCGGAAUUCGUGGUGUAGCGGUGAAAUGCUUAGAUAUCACGAAGAACUCCGAUUGCGAAGGCAGCCUGCUAAGCUGCAACUGACAUUGAGGCUCGAAAGUGUGGGUAUCAAACAGGAUUAGAUACCCUGGUAGUCCACACGGUAAACGAUGGAUACUCGCUGUUGGCGAUAUACGGUCAGCGGCUUAGCGAAAGCGUUAAGUAUCCCACCUGGGGAGUACGCCGGCAACGGUGAAACUCAAAGGAAUUGACGGGGGCCCG
rnacentral:rRNA from 1 species